rnacentral:rRNA from 1 species
GAUGAACGCUGGCGGCGUGCCUAAUACAUGCGAGUCGAGCGAACGGACGAGAAGCUUGCUUUUCUGAUGUUAGCGGCGGACGGGUGAGUAACACGUGGAUAACCUACCUAUAAGACUGGGAUAACUUCGGGAAACCGGAGCUAAUACCGGAUAAUAUUUUGAACCGCAUGGUUCAAAAGUGAAAGACGGUCUUGCUGUCACUUAUAGAUGGAUCCGCGCUGCAUUAGCUAGUUGGUAAGGUAACGGCUUACCAAGGCAACGAUGCAUAGCCGACCUGAGAGGGUGAUCGGCCACACUACAACUGAGACACGGUCCAGACUCCUACGGGAGGCAGCAGUAGGGAAUCUUCCGCAAUGGGCGAAAGCCUGACGGAGCAACGCCGCGUGAGUGAUGAAGGUCUUCGGAUCGUAAAACUCUGUUAUUAGGGAAGAACAUAUGUGUAAGUAACUGUGCACAUCUUGACGGUACCUAAUCAGAAAGCCACGGCUAACUACGUG